UGUUCCUUCUCUCUGCUGUGGUGUCAGCAAGGGCACAGAUUCUAUACCAUUAGUGUAGAAAUUAUGCAUGGGAAGGUGCGUGUGGUGUACCUUUUGUACCAAAAGAAAAUCCCGGAAGUGCUAACCGACUCGACGUCAUUGGCGUGCGCCACGGUCUCGUCACCAUGGAAACCGAAAAGCGCCACUAAAGAAGUGCUGUCUGAAGUGGAGCUUGAUAUGGAAGAAGCCAAACUGAAAGAGGAGGAGAAGGAGGAGGAGGAGGAGAGAGAGGAUGUAGGCCUGAGAGAGUUACGGGAACUGGACAAAGUGCAAAUCAGUCUCUCGGCUGCCCAUAUGUCAGAGCAGAAGCCUAAAGUAGACCAGGCCGAAUGUCCUGCCUCAUACAGCGAGAACUCGGCUAAAGAGAAACUGUUGGUGUCCAUGGCAGAAAACCUCCACGCUCAGUACUCGUAUCUGUACCCUGACCGCAAACCGCUGCUACUCUGCCCAGUCAAUGAGUUCGGAGUGCAGAAGUUUGUGAGCACCACGCUGCGGCGUACGCUGAUACCGUACCGUGAGCUGUAUGACUGGCAAGGCUGUGCUAGUUUCAUCUCUGACUUUUUGACUUUGGAGCUGCUGGAAUGUCCAACUGAAGUGCCGAGACAGCUGUACUCUCCAACGUGGGUGGUGCGGACUCGGAGAGGUACAUGUUUUGAUUACUCCACCUUGCUCUGCAGUUUAUUGCUGGGCGCAGGCUACAACGCCUACGGUGUCAGCGGCUACGCUGUCAAAGAGAUGUGCCUGCUCGAUCUGAGCCACCAGGAAUGUCCACUACUCAAACCCCAGGACACGGUUGAGGGGAAGCCACCCAGGCAGGAGGAGGACGUGAAGAAGUACAGGGUUAAGCCUGCACAACAACUGAAAAGCACCUUUGAGCUGCGUCAGGAGGAGAAAAAGCAGCAGGAGCAUCUCGCAAUGCUCGCCAAGGAGCAGGAAGCCGAAAGACAAAAGGAGGAGCAGGAGCGUCCUGUGGAUCCUCUGUGGGGCCUACGGGUUCACAGCUGGGUUCUGGUUCUGGCAGGGAAACGUGAAAUAUUGGAGAACUUCUUCAUCGACCCACUCUCUGGCCAGAGCUAUCCCACGUCCAGCGCGUGUUUCCUCGGCAUCGAGAGCGUCUGGAACCAUGAGAACUACUGGGUCAACAUGCAGGACUGCCGCUCCGGCUGUACGGAGAUGACAUAUGACCUACAUGAUGUGCUAAAGUGGGAGUACAUGUUGUGUACCAAUAGCAGUUCACCUCUAGUCCCUCCUGAUGGAACAGGAGAAGAAAAUAAGGAGCAGAACGAUGAGGAGACAGAAGAGCCUAAGCUUUUUGAGAUGCCUCAGUCUUGGGUUACACAAAUCCACAUCUCAGAAGAAGAUAUGGAAAGUCGUUUCCCUGGUGGGUCGAAGGUUAUCCGUUACAGGAAGGCCACGCUGGAGAAGUUUUCCCCUUAUCUCCUGAAGGACGGAUUAGUCACAAGACUCACUACUUAUGAUGACCUGGAAUGCACUCAGCUCAACACGGUGAAUGAGUGGUAUGAGAACCGGCAUGAUGAGCUCCAGGAGAGGGAACUGAAGAAAGCCACCAAUGUCACUACAGAGCAUUUCUCACCAGGAAGGAGCUUCUGUCUAAAAACUCACAGGUAUGUGACUCUGGGCCCUGACAUCGAGCGUCUUAUGGAGUUCUACAGUAAAGCUCGAGAUGACAACUUGCUCAGUCGAGUCGAGACACCGACAGAGAUGACUGAGACGUUUCAGGACCGUUCUGACUUCCUCUAUUACCGACACGUUAUUUACGGACCUUUGGAGCUGGCACAAAAACUUGGAGUUCAGCGACCCAUUCAGAAGGUUGUGGUAAAAUUCCAUAGGGAUCGAUCCAAACCAGCCAGCAAGGAUGUGGCUGAACUAAUUUUCCAGAUUUCACAGAAUCGAAUUGAGGUUACAUACCAUCUAGAGGACGACAAAAUCGUUCCAAAUUUUGACAUCUUUGAAAAACCUUCUAACCUUGACGACCCCUUCCCAGACAAGAUGGUCUCCAGCUUUCAGGUGGACCCGCUUGCAAAACCCUUCCCAAAACUGCACCUGUACCAGACCCUCACGGCACUGAUGAAGGAGGAGGAGAAAGUCUUAAUCAGUAUCAAGGACUCUGAGAAAGAAGUGAGGGACAUCCUAGAGGGAAGAGACCGGGAGGAGAGUGCCAUUAUGCUUAAGAUCUCCAUCUACGACAUGGCCAGGAACGAGAAGGCACGCCUGCACAUGGAACAGCUGAAGCACCUGGCCCAAGAGAAGCAACUGAAGAAAGAGUGCGAGGAUGUGGACAUCUUGGCUCCGUUCCUGGCUCGGCUGGGAGACCCGGAGAUCCUGACCAAGCAGCAGGCAAUGCAGAUCCAUGCAGACUGCCUCGACAGCAAAAAGCAGAGACUUAUAGACAAGGCCAACCUCAUCCAGGCUCGAUUUGAAAAGGAGACUAAGAUGCUCCUGCAGAAGCAGCAGUGGUACCAGAAGAACCAGUUCACCUUCACAAAACAGGAUGAGGAAGCGUAUUUGGCCUACUGCUCCGAAGCCAUGUUCAGGAUCAAAGUUUUGAAGCUGCGCCUCAGCUGGUGGUGAUAAAUUUUCCUCCAACAGCAGCUCGGACAGGAGGUUGAUAAGUCACAGGUUUAUCAUAAUGAGAUUUUCACUUUUAGGGAAGGACUCUACUGUCAGCACUUUAACAGUCAAGAGGUUUUCCACAACAGUAAAGUCUGCAGAAGUUUGUGUUUUGUAUUACUGAAGAGAGUAAAAAAGACGGGCUGGAGAGGGAACAACGGUUUAUGGCUGCUAUAAUAACAGAAGCGCUAAACUUCCACAAGGACAGAGCGCCACAGAAGUACCUGGCCCUGGAUAAGAUGCUGAGACAAGAUCCGAGACUGAUGCAGCACCUAGAAUGACGUACACCUGUGUGCUAAAAUUCAGUGUUGUUUACCUUGGUACAUAUUUGUAGCUGUAGAACAGCAUCUAGUGUGUGGAUAGCCACAGUACACUAAUAGAAUUUUCCCCCUUGCAUGUAAAAACACCUCAUUCAGGCUGGUCUGCUUAAAGUCCAGCAAAAACACAUUGAUCAACACCAUUCUUUAUCCAUACAUUUUAAACACCCAGUAUAGAAAAUCUAAGGGUUUUAGUGUUUUCCCCCCCCCUUUUUUAAAUCGGCUUGGUUUCACGGAUUCAGGCCGUCAGCACUGCUGACCAUUUCAGCUCACUCAUGCUCUGCAGAGAAAUCUUUACACUGGAACAAACUGUAUUAUCACAUACUGUAUGAUUGUAAGGUUAAUAAUUUUUUUUUUAAAAAUCCCACCAUUAAAGCCACUGAUUUUGCAGUAUCGACCCACAA